AAACUUUGUUUUAGCAUGAAUAGGAACGGAAUUUAUAGAAAAAAUAGUUUGGAAACUAUACUAUCAUCUUUGGAAAAAUCCUCAGAGACUAUACGCCAAACUCCUGCAAGGGAGAUGAUAUAGUCCGAUCUCUAUGGCGACAUAGAG
rnacentral:autocatalytically_spliced_intron from 1 species